rnacentral:tRNA from 1 species
GCCGGGAUGGUCUAAUCGAUUAAGCCGUCGCCCCGGAUAGGCGAAGGUGCGGGUUAAAUCCCCGCGUUUGGCC